AUUUGGAUACUCAUCAUUUCUUCUUUCACACCCAAAUACUUCACUGUACCAUCUCUCUGUCAUAUUUCGUCUUAUCCAAACAAAGAAAGAAGUUGACUAAAGAUGUUGAGAUUGUAGAGCAAGGUCCUUCUUCCAAUUUCAUCCCCUUCUAUAUUCCACCAUAAAUUUGAAGGAGAUAGCAUCAUUGAUUAAGACUGGGGCAUAUGCUUAUGAAGCAAAGAGGAUUUCAAGAGUCGAUCGAUGCACUUCUUGAGAUUCUUAACAAGGAUGGUAAAACACCUGAUGCAUUUAUUUUGGUGCAAACCAUGAGCAUGAAUAUCGAUGGAUGGAACCAAAGUUUUUCAUUGGAGUCAAUGCUACCAUAAGAUUUGCACUUGCAGGGACUACGGGGAGGAAUGAUGGGUGGGCUAGCUUUGCAAACAUUGCUACUCUUAUUUAUAGUAUAUAGAAUUGAUUGGGUUAAAAAACAAGAUUUACCAAAUGUUAGACUAUAAUCAUUAUGUAUGUAAAUAUUAAUUGUCAGUACGAGUGACUAUUUUGUAUAAAUUGUUAAAAUUUAUAUUUGAGAUAGUUAUAACAUGUGGCAA